rnacentral:rRNA from 1 species
GACGAACGCUGGCGGCGUGCCUAACACAUGCAAGUCGAACGGAGAAUCAGCAAUGGUUCUUAGUGGCGAACGGGUGAGUAACGCGUAGACAACCUGCCUUCUAGAUGGGGACAACGUUCCGAAAGGGACGCUAAUACCGAAUGUUGUAUUUAGUCUGCAUGGAUUAGAUACUAAAGGUGGCCUCUAUUUAUAAGCUACCACUAGAAGAUGGGUCUGCGUCUGAUUAGCUAGUUGGUGAGGUAAUGGCUCACCAAGGCGAUGAUCAGUAGCCGGUCUGAGAGGAUGAACGGCCACACUGGGACUGAGACACGGCCCAGACUCCUACGGGAGGCAGCAGUGGGGAAUCUUCCGCAAUGGACGAAAGUCUGACGGAGCAACGCCGCGUGAGUGAAGAAGGUUUUAGGAUCGUAAAGCUCUGUCUUCAAGGACGAAUGUGCAUGUUGUGAAUAAUGACAUGUAAUGACGGUACUUGAGGAGAAAGCCACGGCUAACUACGUGCCAGCAGCCGCGGUAAUACGUAGGUGGCAAGCGUUGUCCGGAAUUAUUGGGCGUAAAGCGCGCGCAGGUGGGAUAUUAAGUCUGGUGUUAAAGUUCGGGGCUCAACCCCGUGAAGCAUUUGGAAACUGAUAUUCUUGAGUGCAGGAGAGGAAAGUGGAAUUCCUAGUGUAGCGGUGAAAUGCGUAGAUAUUAGGAGGAACACCAGUGGCGAAGGCGACUUUCUGGACUGUGUCUGACACUGAGGCGCGAAAGCUAGGGUAGUGAACAGGAUUAGAUACCCUGGUAAUCCUAGCUGUAAACGAUGGGUACUAGGUGUUGGGGGUAUCGACCCCUCCAGUGCCGGAGUUAACGCAAUAAGUACCCCGCCUGGGGAGUACGGCCGCAAGGUUG